rnacentral:tRNA from 1 species
CGUUAAGAAGCUAUAAGAUGAAGCAACAGCCUUUUAAGCUGUAGACAGGUGAUUACGCCCACCCUUAACGA